rnacentral:rRNA from 1 species
UACGAAGGGUGCAACCGUUGCUCGGAAUUAUUGGGCGUAAAGCGCACGUAGGCGGCUUUUCAAGUCGGAUGUGAAAUCCCUCGGCUUAACCAAGGAAGUGCAUCCGAAACUGGAAGGCUUGAGUACUUAAGAGGAUCGCGGAAUUCCCGGUGUAGAGGUGAAAUUCGUAGAGAUCGGGAGGAACACCAGCGGCGAAGGCGGCGAACUGGAUAGGCACUGACACUCAACAACGAAAGCGUGGGGAGCAAACAGG